rnacentral:ncRNA from 1 species
CAAUAUAUUGUGGGGAUAGGUGCCUUGAAGCGCGAUUUCAAGGCUUAAAAGGGAAGUUCGGUGCAAUGCCGACGCGGUCCCGCCACUGUAACAGAGGAGUCAUUGCCAGGAAGCCACUGGAUUCGUCCGGGAAGGCAGCAAUGACGAUGAGACUGGAGCCAGGAGACCUGCCUGUUCUGACAGCACUGUU